CAUCAGAGAUGGUGCCCCCCUUGUGGUCGGUAUACAGGUGGUGCAUGGCUGUCGUCAGCUCGUGUCGUGAGAUGUUGGGUUAAGUCCCGCAACGAGCGCAACCCUUGUUCUGUGUUGCCAGCAUGCCUUUCGGGGUGAUGGGGACUCACAGGAGACUGCCGGGGUCAACUCGGAGGAAGGUGGGGACGACGUCAAGUCAUCAUGCCCCUUAUGUCUUGGGCUGCACACGUGCUACAAUGGCCGGUACAAUGAGCU
rnacentral:rRNA from 1 species